UGCCAGCAGCCGCGGUAAUACGGAGGGUGCAAGCGUCGUUCGGAACCACUGGGCGUAAAGCGCACGUAGGCGGACUUUUAAGUCAGGGGUGAAAUCCCGGAGCUCAACUCCGGAACUGCCUUUGAUACUGGAAGUCUUGAGUACGGGAGAGGAAAGUGGAAUUCCGAGUGUAGGGGUGAAAUCCGUAGAUAUUCGGAGGAACACCAGUGGCGAAGGCGGCUUUCUGGACCGAUACUGACGCUGAGGUGCGAAAGCGUGGGGAGCAAACAGGAUUAGAUA
rnacentral:rRNA from 1 species